GCAUGGCUGAAUUCUGCAUUGCUUCUGUCAGUAGUAUGUGCAGUCAGACACCAUGCAAUAUUAUCUUUCACUCAUGCUGUGUAACUGGUGGUGAGAGCUCAACAUCUCACCUACCAUAAAGAUGAGUGAGUACAACA
ensembl:snoRNA small nucleolar RNA SNORA15